UACGUAGGGAGCAAGCGUUGUUCGGAUUUACUGGGCGUAAAGGGCGCGUAGGCGGCGCGGUAAGUCACUUGUGAAAUCUCUGAGCUUAACUCAGAACGGCCAAGUGAUACUGCAGUGCUAGAGUGCAGAAGGGGCAAUCGGAAUUCUUGGUGUAGCGGUGAAAUGCGUAGAUAUCAAGAGGAACACCUGAGGUGAAGACGGGUUGCUGGGCUGACACUGACGCUGAUGCGCGAAAGCCAGGGGAGCGAACGGG
rnacentral:rRNA from 1 species